rnacentral:lncRNA from 1 species
CGUGUGUGUAUAUACGAUCGAUCAGGGACAGAGGGUGAGGUGAAACCCUAGUUUCACCAAAAUCCAUCAAAUUGAAGGGGGAUUGAAGGGCUAAACUAAUGUAUGAACCAAGAUUUUCGAUCACUUUAGCGUUUCUACCAUCAUGUAAGUCGAAUUUUGGAACGUGUCAAGGAGAGGUCAAGCAUAGGAGGGUAACGGGUCAAGAUAAGGCAAGGUGACAAAUACACUUAUUGGAGUACUCGAGGUAUGGGAUCGUUGGCUUCAUGAAGAAAUGGAGCUGGAUUUGGAUAAGAGUAUUUAAGAAAGCGCUUGGACAAUUCCACGACUACUUUAUAGAAUGCUCUACGAAAUUCUAUUAUAUAGUUUAAUGUUGUAUGGUAUGUUAAUGACUAAUGGUUUGGUUGUACGUGGUGUCCACAGGUAUCGCUUGGGUUUUCUCUACAUUUAUUGAAGUGAAGCGGACUUAGUUCGAGUUGAGAGCAAGGAUUGUACGGGGUAGAAUGGUCACAUAGUGUAACUCAUAUAGGUUUUGAAGUAUUAAUGUUAUAAAACGUUAUAAAUCCGUUUUAAUGAAUAUAUGGCAUUUCGCAUU